CCUACCAUGCAGUCGAACGGACGAGGAGGAGCUUGCUCCUCCAAGUUAGUGGCGAACGGGUGAGUAACGCGUGAGCAACCUGCCUAUCAGAGGGGAAUAACACAGGGAAACCUGUGCUAAUACCGCAUAACAUACCGAAGUCGCAUGGCUUUGGUAUCAAAGGAGCAAUCCGCUGAUAGAUGGGCUCGCGUCUGAUUAGAUAGUUGGUGAGGUAAUGGCUCACCAAGUCUGCGAUCAGUAGCCGGACUGAGAGGUCGAUCGGCCACAUUGGGACUGAGACACGGCCCAGACUCCUACGGGAGGCAGCAGUGGGGAAUAUUGGGCAAUGGGCGAAAGCCUGACCCAGCAAUGCCGCGUGAAGGAAGAAGGUCUUCGGAUUGUAAACUUCUGUCUUUUGAGAAGAAUAAAUGACGGUAUCAAAAGAGGAAGCCACGGCUAACUACGUGCCAGCAGCCGCGGUAAUACGUAGGUGGCAAGCGUUGUCCGGAAUUACUGGGUGUAAAGGGUGCGUAGGCGGGAAGGAAAGUCAGAUGUGAAAUACCGCAGCUCAACUGCGGGGCUGCAUUUGAAACUUCCUUUCUUGAGUGGAGUAGAGGCAAGCGGAAUUCCCAGUGUAGCGGUAAAAUGCGUAGAUAUUGGGAGGAACACCAGUGGCGAAGGCGGCUUGCUGGGCUCUAACUGACGCUGAGGCACGAAAGCAUGGGGAGCAAACAGGAUUAGAUACCCUGGUAGUCCAUGCUGUAAACGAUGGAUACUAGGUGUGGGGGGUAUUGACCCCUCCCGUGCCGGAGUUAACACAAUAAGUAUCCCACCUGGGGAGUACNGUCNCAAGACUAAAACUCAAAGGAAUUGACGGGGGCCCGCNCAAGCAGUGGAGUAUGUGGUUUUAAUUCNAAGCAACCGCCNAAAAACCUUACCAGGUCUUGNACAUCUUAACUUAACNGAAAGCCANAAAUUGCNUUUAAGGUGNCCCCUUUCCGGGGAAAAGUUUAAAAACNAGGNGGGUGCCAUUGGGUUUGUUCCUUCCACCUNCCGUGUUUCCUUGGANAAUUUUUGGGGUUUUAANUCCCCNCCNAACCAAGGCGCCAAACCCCUUUACCGGNUUUA
rnacentral:rRNA from 1 species